AACCAGGCGGACCUCGCGGCGGCUUCUGUUCUUCUCCCCCAAAAUCGGAACCGAAGUGGGUUGUUUGGACACGGAGAGAUCUGCGCGGUAUUCAUUCGCUCUGGGCGUCACCUCCAUACUAUAAAACCUUGGCACCUCCAUCGACGCCUCAUCCACCUCAUUCAAGUUCGCAGUGCACCAAGCAGGGAGAGAGAAAAAGAAAUUCGGUGAGAUAGGAGUGUAGCGCCUGGGCAUGCUGCUGCUCGGGGAUUCACUGAAGCGUUGAAGAACAUCGAAGCCUUGGCGGAUUUUCCUCUUGGUUCCGAGAUUCAUCGCUGGGUCGCGGCGAGCUGUGGUCGGCGUCAUUGCCGGCUUGUCAUCGGUGAGUGCUUUUCCGCCUGUGUUGGCACUGUCUCCGUUUCCUGGGUCUACGACCGUGCUUAGGCUAGUGCUCGGGCCAUCACAGCAAUUGGGUUCCGUGCACCAGUGGUCAUCGGGGCAUCGGUGGUCAGGUGCUCGGUCAGGGGCCACCGCGGUUGGGGCAAGGCGUCACCUAGCUCGGACUGAGGAAGAAGAAUAGAGCUUGGUCGUUGGAUUUGGAACCUCUGACCACAGUUAGUUUUGCGGCUUGAAUAGGUUUGAGCCGUGGGGAUAGGAAUCAACCGCCACAAUUAGAUCUAGAUGAGUCAUGCGUUCCGGCCUUCAGAUCGAAUCUCGGUGGCCAAGAUCUGUUUGCGCGCACCGCUUCGGUGUGUGUGCGUGGUGAGCCAUCCGAUGCAGAUCGGACGUGGGAGAAUCGAUCACCCUGUUUUAAGUCAUGUCCGUCCAUAGUGGAUCAUGCGGCUAGUACUGCGUACCGGUUCAUAUCGGGCCGAUCUAAUCUGGUCGGUCAGAUUGUGAUCGAAUGGCUGAUAAUCAAGGAUACCCCUUCGUGGUGUAACAAUCGCUAAAGAGACCCUAGGGAAUCAACUAAUAAACCCGCAGUCCGCCUCUGAGUUGUUUGAGUCUGGGGAAAAAUUUCUGGAUUUGCCCCCGGAGUUCUCUGUAAUUAGCGCUCAGUCCGGAGAACAAUGAAAAUUGAUAAUUAGUUACAGAAAGUCAUUUUUAAUACAAAAAUAAUUCUAGAAACUUGUAUAAUUCACAUUAAAUUCACUUUAGCUACAAAUUGAUUCAUUCCAGAGACAUUAAUUUUAUUUUUAUAUUGUCUACCACUUAGUACCUCUGUUUAGCAAUAAAAUAUGAAUUAAAAUUAUUCAUCUAAAUUAAUCUAUACCAUGUACUAAAUAACUCCAGAAAAUCAUAACUCUGUAAUCGUAACUCCGAUUUUAGUGAUUCUCGAACCCACGAUCUCGUAGCAGCGCGUAGAAUAUUAUUACGCAGUUUAUUAUUAUGUUUGGUGUGAUGUUAAUUUUGCCUAUACCAUUGUUGGGACCAUGCUUCGUCGCCGAAGGUCCUGUAGGAAGAAACAGCUUCGGCUGAAGCUGUCUGUACGUGACGCCGAAGGGUGCCGUUCAUGAAGCUUCGGAAUUACAAACCGACUUAAAGAUAGAAUGACCUUUUAGUCCAUAAGAGUUUGAGUCGUUGUUGUAAACUUUUAUGAGGGGUAUGAUUGUAAUUGCUUACAGGCUGUGUCCUGUGCCUAUAAAUAGUGAACAAUAUUCUUUUACUGUUCACUCAUUCCUGUAAUUGCAAUCACAUUACUCGGAAAUUAUUCCUUGCCAAGGCAGAGGUAUAAAUGUAUCUAAACAUUAUAUUUGAAUACAUCAAGUUUAUAUAAUAUGUAAAUGAUGUUGUUUACUUCUAAUUUACUUGUCUGUAAUGCUUUAUGUCUCGUGUUAUUUUAUAUUAUCUCUGAGAGUUCAAUUACGAAGAUUCAACCUUUGUAAUUGUAUCAUUAUAACCUUCGUCCGAAGUUCAUUAAAUCCUUGGGGGAAAUAAUGCUUCAGCGGACGAAGGACAUUAAUAUUUAACAUUUUAUGUUGCCUUGUUCUUAAUUCAUAGCAUUUCAGAACAAGUCCCCAACAUUGGCGCCCACCUCCGGUGAACUCACUUCCACUUUUUUGAGCUGAUGGCUUCGUUCAACAUUCAAGCUGGAGCUGCUUCGGCUCCGAAGCUGGUACUCCUGAUAACAGGCGGUUCAUGCUCAGAGCCAGCUAACAAGAAGCAGAAGAAGGAGGCACAGAGAAGGGUAUAGCACGUCGGGGUGCAAGGACCUUUCAUCAAGUCAAGAUGGUCUCACAUUCCUAUUACCUUCUUGUUGGAACUUGCUCUCAGCGGCAAGGAGGCCAACAAGGGUGAACGGUGGUGACAACAGGGUUACGUGCUCGGGGGCAAUAGCUCUGUUUAUCUACCCUCUCACGGGCACUGUGCGGGGGUAUUUAUAGGUAUCUGAGUGCCCAGCGCCUUGUGUUAAGGACGCAUGUGCCCUCAGACACCUAGUUUAUCCCCAGAAUAUUCCCAUAAAGCAGGGUUACAAGCUGUAAUUACAAGAAUGCCUUUACAAACUAGGCCCGUAACACAAAGGCGGCCACGCGGGGCCCGUUACAAUGGGCCAGAUCACACGUGGGCCUCAGAGCGGGACGAGGCCGUGCUGCGGGGAGACGUCACCGCAGGCCUUCGUCUGGUGCUGAAUGAAGCGAAGGGUGUCCCUGCCCGUUUUGUCUUUGUCAGACCAGCGACUACAGUGAAAGGCGACGAGCGAAGGGUGGCGUCUUUGCCUUCGCCCCAACAUUUGCCCUCCAAGGGACCAGUUCGACAAAGUCACCUGGUGCCGAAGACGUCGAUAGAUGGCGGAGACGCUACCCUCGCUCGAAGUGGUUCCGCGGGGGUUUUUGACAUGACCGUUGAUGGACGGCGUACUGUUGGAUUGCGGGUUUCCCGAAGCGCCGCGCCCUGUCGGAUUGCGGGUUUCCCGAAGAGCCGCGCCCUGCCUAUAAAAGGGGGCGGGGGUCGGUGCUUUUUGAACAUUGCCUUCCGCGCUCCGCGAAAACCCUAGCCGCCCGCCGUCUUGCUGCUCGUCUGCCCGCCGUGUUCUUGAUCGCCGGAGACCUGGCUCGAGUGAAGCAGACCGCCCGCCGCCGCCGACGGUACGUAGCAAUGCCGUCCUCUUCUUCUUCCGCCGACACCACGCCGCCGGCGGCCGCCUCGUCUGAGGAGACGUUGAGUAGCUUGAUGGUGGAGGAGUUGCGCGCCGGCGACUCUGUUGAUUUUGGUGUGUCACGGAUGACGUCAGCCCGCGUUGAAGAUAUGCAGCGGUUGGGCUACUUUGGCGGCGGAGUUGCUCGUGCUCCGGGGACGGAGGAAGUCCCCGAGCCGGAGGGUGAGUUGGUCGUUUUCGAGGCGUUCUUCGCCGCCGGUCUCCGCUUGCCUCCGCACCGGUUUGUUGGCGAAGUCCUGCGUAGAUUCAACGUUCAAAUACAUCAGCUGACAUCGAAUGCCAUGGUGGCGCUGGCGAAGUAUGUCUGGGCGACGACUUCGUACGGCGGACAGCCGUCUGUUGAAGUUUUUGCGACGAAUUAUUGUUUGCAUUGGCAGAAGAGGAUGGUUGGGGACGGAGUUGCCCAGUUCGGGUCAUGCACAUUCACGCCGAAGACCGGCAAGACCACAAUGCCAGUAGUGGAGUUGGUUCCGUGCGCCCGCAACAAGUGGGGCAAUUGGAAUGAAUUUUGGUUUUACGUUGCUGAGGGUGCUGUCGAAGACCAUGAGGGACUCCUCGUGUCUGAGAUGUGCUCUCAUUAUUACUCUGCGUAUCCGCCCUUUGAAGUGGCAGAAGAGGAUGCAGACGAAGGGGCCCUUCGGUGCGCCGCCGGUCAGAGCAGUGGGCGUGAUUUAGUUGAAGAGUUCGUGGCGUACGGGGUCUGGCGCUUGGCGCAUGGCUGGGCGUUGGGCGAAGUGUGCCCUCGCCAGAUGCCUUUUCACGGAGGAAGGGUGGUGCGAAGUCCUGCCUUCGCACUGAAUUUGCGAAACCGUGACCCGGCCGCCUUUGUGCGUGAUGCGGAGGACUUGGCGGUGCGGCUCGUGGGACGUUACGUGCCGAGGACGGAAGGCCAGCGCAGCUUUGAUAUCCGCAGGUCAAAUGACCGUUUGAACAGGGUCUUCGAAUUAAAUCAAUUGCCAUACGACGGCUAUCCCGGUCAAGACGAAGCGGACCGCCGUGGGAAGAAACCGGCGGUGGAGACUAGAGACGACCCUGCGCCGGCGGCCGCCCCUUCCUCGAAAAAGAGAAAAUUAGGUACUAUGAUGGGAGGACUUGGGGUGUCUGACAGUUUUGCUAGAGAGUUGAUGAGGACGUGUGCGGCCCCGGGGGAAAGGAUGUCUUCGCCCGAGCUCCGGGAGUCUUCAGCUCGGAUGCUGAGGGUUACCGGGGGCUGCUGGCCUAGAAAUGUUCCUAUCCCCUGCGCGGCCGAGGAGGACUGUUUUACAUCUCGUAUGGUUCAUCGGUGGAGAGUUUUUCCUUACGGGCGAAAUAUCGGUGCUGUUGUGUGGGCAGUGAUGGACAAGGAUCGCCAAGGUGCGGUGCAAAAACGCCAGGCGACUGUCAGGCUGCAUGAAGCUAGGCCGAAGAGGCGGCGGGGGGCUCCGAAGGCUGCGGCCUCCGGCGGAGGCAAGCCGCCGCUGGCGGCGAAGGCGGGCGCCUCUGCACCUAGCAAGGCGCCGGAGGCAACGGCGGGCGCUGGAGGCUCCAAGUCAACGAAGGUGGUGCCGCCGGCCAGCGGAGUGGCGGAGGCCUCGAAGGCGGCCCGAGCGUUGCCGUUGUCGGGCAAGCGCGUUGCCGACUUCGGCACCGAUAUUACUGUAGACGACUAUCUUGGUGGUAAGUCUUUGGCCUAUUAUUAUUAUUAUUAUAUAUAUAUAUUUUUUAAUUCGAAGAUGCGUUGCAGGGUCGGACGAGGGGCAGCUUGCUAUGGUUGCGCCUGGCGCGGAGACCGCGACGGCGGCCAUAGUGCCGAGGGCGAGGGGCGAGGCCCUUGGCGCCGGAGGCGAGGUGUCGGUCCUCGCGGUGGUUAGGGACGAGGCGAGCGCAGCGACCCGCCGGCUAAAGGGAGUGACGGAGGCGCUGAGUCAGGCGACGGAGGCGCUGAGUCAGGUCCGCUGAGUUAUACUCUCUCCCCCGCCUCUUUCUUUUGGGGCAACGGCCUUACGUGUGCUCUGCAGGUGGCUGACUUCGCCAGCCGUACUGCAUCGGGGGCCCUCACGGCAGCUGUGUCCGCCGAAGUCGAGAGACUUCGGACACAACAUGCUGAUGCUGUCCGUGAGAAAUCGGCCUCCGACAGCAAGUGCCAUAAGCUGACGGACAGGGUGGCCGCCCUGGAGAGGGAGAAGGCCGACCUCCGGUGCCAACUGGCGGCGGAGAGGAGGGAGGCAAACGAGGCCAUCGCCAAGGAGCAGGCUGCGCAGGCGGAGGCCAAACUGGCGCGGGCGGAGGCCAAACUUGCCAAGGAGCUCGCCGAACAUCUGCAGGAGCGGCUUACCGCCCUGGAGAGCCGCGCGAAGGGGGCCGAAGCCGCGAUGCGUGCGGAGGCUGAACGGACGCGCGCUCAGCUUACGGAUACAUAUCGCGAGCUGGGCGCGCGGACCGGCGACUUCGAGGUGCCGGACCGAGAGCCCGGGCUCCGCUGUCUGCAAUGGGUGCAGGAGGAGCUGCAGGAACUCCCCACUGUUGUGGGGGGGUUGAUGUCGUACGCCUCCCUGGUCACCUGCGAGGGGGCGAUGAACGCACUCUCCCGCGAAGGGUGCCGGCACUUCGAGGUCUUCGACCAGGCAGAUGAAGAUUUUGAGCGAGAUGUCUAUAAGGUCGAAGACCCUGUUGUGAAGGAAUCUGCCGGGGCCCUCUACGACCGGAUGUGGGGUCUACAUGGUUGUGAGGUGGUCAGGGAGCGGGCCGAGACUGCGAGGGCUCAGGUAACGUUGUUGUUUGCUUGGCGUUUGCUGUAUGCGGGCUGUGCGUGUGUUUGCUGAAUUUGUGUGUCUUGUCCUAGGCGGAGCGCGGCGAGCGGGUGGACGACUUCGGGGCUCUGAACAGCGCGCUGCCAGACCCGGAGCCGACCUUUGCGGAGGCUGUGACUGGGGUCGCCCUGGAGCCAACCCCGGAGACCGCAGCGAUCACGACGGCUGCCUCCACAUCCGCUGCGGCCGGCGAAGACCUGCCCCCGAAGGUGGCCGAAGGCGCCCCUGAUGCCCCCGCAGCUGCUGUGCCGAGUGCUGAAGGUCCCGCGGCGGUGGCGGCGGAAACAACGGCGGAGGCAGCGGCGGGACCAACGGCGGAGGCUCCCGCAGCGUCAGGGCCUUCGUAGGUGGCGUAGUGGUUGUUUAGGGUUGGGGAAUUUUUGGAUGCUGUGCUGAAUUUUGGUUGCUGCGCAGGUUCAAGAUUUUGGGCCUGCGCACGCAACCGCUACUACUGAGUUUUUGGCGGCUUCGACCGCGGAAGGUGGGAAUGAAUAUGGUGGGUUUGCAUCUGAGUUUUUUGAUUUUACCGACUCCGGGAGCUCGGUUGAGUGGACUGAGGAGUCGUCGAAGGAGGACUUGGAUUAUUUUGCGGCCUUGGACGUGGCUGCGGCAGAGGCUUCGCCACACGCCGCGGACGCGCCAGACGUGCCAGGCCCUAGCACCGGGCGCCGCCGACGAAGGGCGGUUGCAAAAUGUAGGGUUAGCGCGGAGGAGGGGGCUCGGCUUCGUGUGAGUAGGGCUGGUCGUCAGGAACUGUUGUCUUUGCCGGCCGCUGCGAGUACAGGGGAAAGGGAACUGCGAAGUCUUUUUGCGGGUGAGGAGCUUAGGAUAAUGUUAUUUAAUUAUAGAGAGAUGGGAAUUAUUCCUAAGGUUGAGCCGAUGUAGAGUGUGGUGCCCUCGCUUGUAUAUGUGUAGAGGUUUGUACGAUGAAGUUGUGUGCCCUCGCGUGCCUGUGCCUGCGAGGACGUUGUGUGCCUUUGUCUGGUAUGGUUGGUUAUGCUGUGCUGUUGUGAUUAUAGUCGUUCUUAGCACGGAUGGUUUGAUGCUAUCGUUUCUGCUUUUGUUGUACUAGUUCGGCUGCGCCCUUAGGCGGCUUCUGCGCGGAGUCUUUGCGAUAGACUUCGGGUUUUUUCGCACUUGUUGUGCUAGUCCGACUGCACCCUUAGGCGACUUCUGCGCGGAUAGUCUUCGCGAUAGACAUUGGAUUUUUUCGCACUUGUUGUGCUUAGUCCGGCUGCACCCUUAGGCGACUUCUGCGCGGAUAGUCUUCGCGAUAGACAUCGGAUUUUUUCGCACUUGUUGUGCUUAGUCCGGCUGCACCCUUAGGCGACUUCUGCGCGGAUAGUCUUCGCGAUAGACAUCGGAUUUUUUCGCACUUGUUGUGCUUAGUCCGGCUGCACCCUUAGGCGACUUCUGCGCGGAUAGUCUUCGCGAUAGACAUCGGAUUUUUUCGCACUUGUUGUGCUUAGUCCGGCUGCACCCUUAGGCGACUUCUGCGCGGAUAGUCUUCGCGAUAGACAUCGGAUUUUUUCGCACUUGUUGUGCUUAGUCCGGCUGCACCCUUAGGCGACUUCUGCGCGGAUUUGUCGCACGCGAGGGUGGCUAGCGCUUAGCCUCGCGGUGACUUCGAAUUGGUCGAAUGCCGAAGACCGUUGUCGCGGUCUUUUUUCGACACAUGUUUUUGCGGGGGAUUUUUCUCACAUAUAUUACAUGGCUCCGCCUCGUUAAAAACCUCACCCCCCGGGAGGAAAAGAGUGCGGGCCGGUACAAGAUUGUUUGCGGCGAAUUACAAGGGCGAAAUCAGCCCUAAAUGGGUCAAACAAAAAAUUUGCGAAGGUUGUCGAUGUUCCAGGAGUGCUCCAGGUCCUCGCCAUUUGGCGUUGUGAGCCUGUAAGCGCUGGGGGAAGCUUUUGACUUGACUAUGAAGGGGCCCUCCCACUUGGGCUCCAACUUGCCCUUGGACUCCGUCCGAGCUGUUCGGACGAGUACGAGGUCCCCCUCGCUGAACUCCCUCGGGAUGACUGCGUGGUCGCGCCAUGCUUUGGUCUGGGCUUGGUAUUUGUUUAGGGCCUGUAGGGCGAAGACCCGGUCUCCGUCAAUGAGAUCUUUUGAAGUUGGCUCGUCCACGUCGGGGACGGCUGACGGAACUGUACGCGGGGACCCAUGCUUUAUUUCUUGCGGGGUCAUUGCCUCCGAUCCGUAUAGAAGGCGGAAAGGAGUGAACCCGGUCGCCCUGCACUCAUUUGUGUUUAGCGCCCAGACUGCCUCCGGUAAUAAAUCGGUCCAUCUGCCUUUUUUCAUCGAGGAGCAUCUUUUUGACAGUUGUGAAUAUUUUCCCAUUGGCACGCUCCACGACCCCGUUGGACUGCGGAUGAUAGACUGAAGCGAAGGCAAGCUUGGUGCCGAUGGAGAAACAAAAAUCCUUGAAAUCUUGGCUGUCGAACUGCUUGCCGUUGUCAACUGUUAGCUCGGACGGUACUCCGAAGCGGCAAACGAUGUUCUGCCAGAAGAAUUUUUGGGCAGUCUUUGAUGUGAUUGUGGAAACAGCCCUCGCUUCAAUCCAUUUGGUGAAGUAUUCGACGGCUACGAAGGCGAACUUAAGGUUCCCCUGAGCGGUGGGCAGGGGCCCGACGAUGUCCAGGCCCCAGCGCUGGAGAGGCCAUGUAUGGCCGUAUGGGCAAUCAGCUUUGUAUAUUGCGAGGGGUUGCCUGACCGAGGAGAGAACUUCUGGCAGGCUUCGCAGGACCUUGUGACCCGAUUUGCGGCGCAGAUCAUUGCGGGCCAGUAAAACCCUUGUCGGAUCACCUUGGCAGCCAGGGCCCUUGGCCCUGCGUGCGAGCCGCACGUGCCACUGUGGACUUCGCGUAGGAUCUGCAUGCCUUCGGUUUCGGUGACGCAUUUAAGCAUUGGCUGACUGACCCCUUUCUUGUAUAAUUGGCCCUCAAUCAGUGCGAAGUCCCGGCUUCGAUGUCUGAGGCGCUUUGCCUCACUGACGUCAGUUGGAUGAUAGUACCCCUGUAGGAACAGGGUUAUUGGUGCCCGCCAGUCUUCGGUCAUGAUUAGGUUGACUAUACGGUGGCCCUCGCUAUCAUUAGUUAUUUGGAGCCCUUCGGGGCUCCGGACGGCAGGCGUGCCGAUGGUGUGAAAGAACACGUCGGAGGGCAAGGGCUCGCCCCUGGCGGCAGCCUUGGCCAAUGCGUCGGCCUCCUCGUUCUUGGCCCUAUCCACAUGCUGCAAGGUGAAUCCCUUGAACUGUCUCUCGAGACUUCGGAUAGCCGCGAGGUAUUGCAUGAGCGCGGGGUCCUUUGCUGCAUAGUCUUUCUCGAUAUGGCCGACAACUAUCUUGGAGUCUGUCUUGAUUAUACAUGUGGUGACUCCGAGGGCCCUUAGCUUGCGGAGGCCGAGGAUAACCGCUUCAUACUCUGCGAUGUUGUUUGUGCAUCUGUCGGAUUCCAGAGCGAAGCUGAGGCGUGCUGCAUAUCUGUGUUUGACUCCUGUUGGUGAGGUGACGAUUGCAGCGACGCCUGCCCCCGCAUGGCACCAUGCGCCGUCGCAAUGGAUGGUCCAGACCUUUUCUGUGGACGGGUCCGGCUGUGCUACUGGCCCAGUCCAGUCGACGACGAAGUCUGCCAGGACUUGCGACUUGAUGGCUGUCCUGGGCUCGAAGCUGAUGUGGUAGCCGGAGAGUUCGGCUGCCCACUUGGCAAUCCUCACCGAUGCCUCCAGGUUUCUGAAUAGUUCGCCGAGCCCCCUGUCAGAGGUGACUCGGACCUUGAAUGCUUCAAAGUAAUGGCGCAGUUUGCGCGAGGACAUAACAACUGCGUAGGCGAUCUUCUCCAGCUCUGUCAUGUUGCAUUUGGACGGUGUCAGGACUUCGGAGACAUAGUAAAUAGGGCACUGUCUGACUGUGCCUUCAACAGUCUGCUCCUGCACUAGUGCCGCGCUGACCGCGUGCGGCGAAGCCGCGACAUAGAGCAAUAGGGGGAGCGAGGAGUCAGGGCUUGUGAGGAUGGCCAGCUCCGAUAAGUACUGUUUUAAUGAGGCGAAGGCCGCUGCUUGCUCCGGCCCCCAAGCGAAGUCUUUCGCACCGCUUUUUGAGGAAGGGGAGACUUCGCUCGGCGGACCUGGAGAUGAAUCUGUUGAGAGCGGCCAAUCUGCCUGUCAGACGCUGGACGUCCCCGACGGACUGCGGAGGCGACAUGUCGACGAUGGCCUGGAUCUUGGUUGGGUUGGCCUCGAUGCCGCGGUGUGACACCAGGUAACCCAAUAUCUUGCCCUGGCGAACACCGAAGACGCACUUUUCCGGGUUCAGGCGGAGUCGUGCAUCUCGCAUGUUCGCGAAUGUCUCGGCGAGGUCGGCGAGGUGGUCCUCCUUAUUCUUGCUGGCGACGACGAUGUCGUCCACAUAUGUAAAUAUGUUUCUACCGACCUGCCCUUCGAGUACUGUUUUGGUGAGUCUUGAGAAGGUGGACCCCGCAUUCUUGAGUCCCUCCGGCAUCCUGAUGAAGCAAUAAGUGCCGAAGGGUGUUAUAAAGCUGGUGCUAGCCUUGUCUUCCUCCUUCAUGUAUAUCUGGUGAUAGCCGGAGAAGCAGUCGAGGAGUGACAUGACCUCGCAUCCGGCCACGCUAUCGACUAUUUUGUCGAUCCGCGGCAACGGGAAAUUGUCCUUCGGGCAGGCCUUAUUGAGACUGGUGAAGUCUAUGCACAUUCGCCAUUUCCCGCUUUUUUUCUGCACCAUUACGACAUUGGAGAGCCACGUGGGGUAAGCCACUGGCUCGAUGAAUUUAGCUUCUAGGAGGCGGUGCACUUCCGCCUUGGCGGCCUCUGUCUUUUCGUCGGACAUUUUGCGGAGCCUUUGCUUUUUUGGUCGCACCGAAGGGUCGAUUCCCAAGCUGUGCUCAAUUAUGGAUCGGCUGACUCCGACCAGGUCUAGGGCGGACCAGGCGAAGACAUCUUUAUUCUUGGCCAGGCAGCAGAGAAGCUUCUCUUCUUCAUGUGACGUAAGGUCUUCGCUGAUAGUGACUGUCUGCUUGGGCGUGGCCUGAUCAAGGGGAACAGUCUUGGUUCCGUCUUGGCUCUGCAACUGUGCCUUCUCGUGCUGCUUGUUGGUUGGGCUGGCGGGCGCAGGGACCUCGCGCUGGGUCGUGAGACAGUGUACGUUCCUCUGACCAGGCACGAAGUCCCGCUCUAUGUUGCGCGCCGUCUGCUGGUUGCCGUAGAUCGUGAUAGCGCCUAGCGGACCUGGUAUCUUCAUACAUAGGUACAGUCCAUGGAUGGCAGCUUCGAACUUAUUGAUGGAGCCCCGGCCCAUGAUGGCAUUGUACGGAUAUACCAUGUCGACAAUGUCGAAGGUUACUUGCUCACUUCGGGCAUUGGGUGCUACACCGAAGGAGAGGGGAAGCUCUAUUUUGCCAACAGGAAAGGUGCCUUUGCCGCCGAAGCCAUACAACGGAUUGUCCGAAGGCUUGAGCAGGCUGUGGCUUAUACCCAUGCGGUCGAAGGCGUGGAGGAAGAUGAUGUCCGCCUGACUGCCGUUGUCGACUAGGACUUUGUGUAGGUCCCAGCCUGCCACGCUGCAAUUGAUGACCAUAGCGUCGAUGUGGGGGGCGCUGCGCAGGUCGACGUCUCGUGCAUCGAAGGUUAGCGGUAUGUGGGACCACUUCGUCUGCACGACUGGGCCAGUGACCGCGACAUGGUUGAUGCUGCGGUAGUGGUCCCGCUUCUGCCGCUUGGUGUCGAAGUCAGUGCUGGACCCCCCUGUUAUCAUGUGAAUGACUCCGCGAUAUGGUUGAUCGGCGAAGUCUUCCUGCUUUGGGGCAUGGGGGAUGUUUUGGUGUUGCUGGUGUGGUGGUGGGGGUGGAGGAGGUACGAUUUGUACUUCCUGAUGGUGUUGGUAAGCGUGGUGCGGUGGAUGCGGGGCGGGAGCGUGGAUAUAUGGUGGAGGGGGUGGCUGGUAAUUAUGCGCGACAAUUCUGGGAUUGUCGGCUGGCCGCGCCCGCGCCAUUCUGUCUCUGGUGGCCUUCGUUUCGGGGCAGUCUUUGGUUUGGUGGGCGCAGUCUUCGCCGUGGAAAAGGCAGUAGAACCGGCGCGGCGGCUGCGCGCGCCCUCGGCCCCUGCCACGAGUUCCGUUUCCGCGGCCCUGGGGGGGAUAUUCCUGGCGACGAGGGGGGUCAGCAGCAGGCUGCUGGUUGGCGAUGUUGUGCACUUGCUGUUGACUGUGGCCAUCUCGACCGGAGUCUGGUUGCGGAGUCCUCGUCCACGUGCGGCUAGACUGCGGGGCAUCUUUGGGCUUCCGCUGUGAUUCAACCUUGCGCUGGUGGAGCUCUUCGGAUUUGGCAUAUUUUUCAAAGAGCUGAUAUAGCUCCUGGAGGUUCUUGGGUGGAUCUCUGAUACAGUGGCUGUAGAGGACGCCGGCCCGAAGGCCACUGAUGGCGUAGUGGAUAUCGAUCUGAUCAUCGACGGAGGUCAGCUGUGACUUGAGUGUUAAGAAUUUACGGUAAUACUCCCGCAGAGUCUCCUUUUCCAGCUGUUUUCAAAGCGAGAGCUCGGCCAAAGCGUCGGUGUCUGGGCGGUACACUUGGAAGUUGAGAAGGAACUUGUCCCUGAGACUUCUCCACGAAUCAAUGGACAGCGGAGGCAAUCUGGUGAACCAGGUGAGUGCUGGGCCCUCUAGGGCGAUGAUGAAAGACUUCGCCAUUGUGGCGUCGUCCCCUCCGGCGGAUGCAACGGCGACUUGAUAACUCAUUAUGUAUUGCGCCGGAUCGGUGCUGCCGUUGUACUUGGGAUAUGCCCCUGCUCGGAAGUUAGCUGGCCAAGGCGUCACUUGCAGGUGUGGCGCCAGGGGACUUCGCUCGUCGAGGUAGUUGACCUCUUGGAAUGGCGCGCCGUGCUGGAAGGCGUAGUCAUGCUGGGGGAAACGCGGGUUCUCCGGCUGCGCCCGGUGUUGCAGGGGUGGGCCAUGCUGCAGGCCGAGGUGGCCUUCGCGCGUGUCUUCCGGUUGCGGGCGCUGCUGGAGGGGUGGCUCUUGCUGUAGACCGAGGUGGCCUUCGCGCUGCAUCAGCGCGAUCUCGCGCUCGAGGUCUUGGGCCUUAUGCUCCUCGUCGCGUAUCAUUUGCUGCACCUUGGCUAGUGCGGACACACGCUGGCGCUUGGCUUCCAGUAUCUCUUUCUGCCUCUGGAGAUUGCGGUUCUUGAGGCACAGGGCGCGCAGCUGUAACUGUUCUUCUGUUGAGACGCCGAGGACCUCGCCGUCCUCGGUGAGAUCCGCGCCCUCCAGUGGGGCGAAGCCUGGGGGCGGCUGCGAUUGUCCUUCGGGCCCGCAGGUGCGGAAGGUGUCGUCUUCGCAGGUGCGGGGAAUGUUGUCUUCAGUGGGCUCUUGGUGGGUGGAUUGGGUGAGGGCGAGGGCCUUGCCCUUUCUUGCGGCCAGCAGUGCUGCCUUCGCAGCCUCGUCAGCCUUCGGGUUAGCUCUCUUGGGUGCCAUCGCGGGUGGUCUUGUCGUAGCACGAACGGUGGGCGCCAAAUGUUGGAACUUGCUCUCAGCGGCAAGGAGGCCAACAAGGGUGAACGGUGGUGACAACAGGGUUACGUGCUCGGGGGCAAUAGCUCUGUUUAUCUAGCCUCUCACGGGUAGUGUGCGGGGGUAUUUAUAGGUAUCUGAGUGCCCAGCGCCUUGUGUUAAGGACGCAUGUGCCCUCAGACACCUAGUUUAUCCCCAGAAUAUUCCCAUAAAGCAGGGUUACAAGCUGUAAUUACAAGAAUGCCUUUACAAACUAGGCCCGUAACACAAAGGCGGCCACGCGGGGCCCGUUACAAUGGGCCAGAUCACACGUGGGCCUCAGAGCGGGACGAGGCCGUGCUGCGGGGAGACGUCACCGCAGGCCUUCGUCUGGUGCUGAAUGAAGCGAAGGGUGUCCCUGCCCGUUUUGUCUUUGUCAGACCAGCGACUGCAGAGAAAGGCGACGAGCGAAGGGUGGCGUCUUUGCCUUCGCCCCAACACUUCUCCCAAGAGGAUCUUCAACUCAAGGAUUACCCACACAACGAUGCUAUGGUUAUCUCUUGUGUCAUCAAAGGAUUUCUGGUCCACAAUGUUUUGGUUGAUACAGGCAGUGCAACUGAUAUCAUAUUUGCUAAGGCCUUCAGACAGAUGCAAGAGCCCGAAGAUAAAAUUCUUGAUGCCACACAUCCCCUUUGCGGCUUCGGAGGAAGGCAGAUUGUAGCACUCGACAAAAUCUCAAUGCCAGUGACCUUCGGAUUUAUCAACAACACAAGGACUGAACAAGUUAUGUUUGAUAUUGUUGACAUGGAAUACCCUUACAAUGCAAUCAUUGGUCGUGGUACUCUCAAUGCCUUCGAAGCAAUUCUUCAUCCAGCUUAUCUUUGCAUGAAGAUACCUUCGGACCAAGGGCCCAUUGCUAUUCAUGGAACUCAGGAAGCUGCCAGAAGGGCCGAAGGAAAUUGGACAGACUCAAAAGCAAUCCAUAAUAUAGAUGGAACUGAAGCUUGUGAGCUAUACAAGUUCAGAAGGGAAAAGGCUGUUUCGGCUGAUCAGCCGAAGCCCAUGCUCUUAUGUGAGGAUAUAGCAGAGCAGAAGGUGCUAUUGGGAUCUCAAUUGUCUGAAGAGCAGGAGAAAACCUUGAUAAGGUUUCUGUUCAACAAUAAAGAUGUUUUUGCUUGGUCAGCUAAUGAUCUUUGUGGAGUUAACAGGGAUGUUAUUGAGCACUCGCUCAAUGUUGAUCCAUCCUUCAGACCCAGAAAGCAGAGGCUUCGGAAGAUGUCUGAUGACAAGGCCGAAGGUGCUCGGAAUGAAGUGAAAAGACUCCUCAGUGCCGGAGUUAUUAGAGAGGUAAAAUACCCAGAAUGGUUGGCUAACACUGUUAUGGUGAAGAAGGCCAAUGGUAAAUGGAGAAUGUGUAUCGAUUUCACUGAUCUCAAUAAGGUCUAUCCAAAGGACGAGUUUCCAUUGCCAAGGAUAGAUUCCUUAGUUGAUGCAGCAGCUUCAUCAGAGCUUAUGAGUCUGCUAGAUUGCUAUUCAGGCUAUCAUCAAAUCUGGAUGAAGAAGGAGGAUGAACCGAAAACCAGCUUCAUAACCCCUAGUGGGACAUAUUGUUACCUUCGGAUGCCUGAGGGGCUUAAGAAUGCCAGAGGAAGUUUCAGCAGAAUGACAGCGAAGGUCCUCCAUUCUUAGAUAGGCAGGAAUGUGCUAACUUAUGUUGAUGAUAUCAUUGUAAAAAGCACGAAGCAAGAUAACCACAUUGCUGAUUUACAGGAGACCUUCGCUAAUUUUAGACAGGCUGGUCUAAAGCUGAAUCCAGAAAAAUGUGUCUUCGUAGUAAAGAAGGGGAAAUUUCUUGGUUGCCUAGUUUCAACAAAGGGAAUUGAGGCUAAUCCAAACAAAAUCGAAGCUAUACUUCGAAUGGAACCACCAAGUACCAAAAAGGGGGCUCAAAGAUUGACAGGAAGGCUGGCAUCUCUCAAUAGAUUCAUAUCCAGAUCAGCAGAGAGAAACUUACCAUUCUUCGAAGUGCUGAAGUCAGCCGAAGUCUUUCAAUGGGGACCAAUCCAGCAGAAAGCCUUCGAAGAGCUGAAGCAAUAUUUGAUAGAUCUAACAACAUUAACUCCACCAACGCCAGGGGCUCCUUUGUUAUUAUAUGUGGCAGCUUCGCACUCAGCGGUAAGUGCAGCACUUGUCCAGGAGAAGCUUGAAGGCCAAGUUAAGAGGCAGGCCCCAAUAUAUUUCGUAUCCGAGGUUCUUAGUUUAUCAAAGAAAAAUUAUACAGAAUUGGAGAAGGUACUGUAUGCUGUUUUGAUGGCCUCCAGGAAGCUUCGACAUUAUUUUCAAGCUUACAACAUAAUUGUUCCUUCUUCGCAACCUCUGAAGGAUAUUAUGAGAAACCGAGAAGCUACUGGAAGGAUUGGAAAAUGGGCUGCAGAGCUCAAUGAAUUUUGUAUUGAUUAUGUCCAUAGAUCUUCGAUUCAGUCCCAAGCGUUGGCAGACUUCAUUGCUGACUGGACGCCAGGGGCUCAGGAGGAAGAAACGAAUAAAGAUGCCGAAGCAUGGACAGUGUUUUGCGAUGGGUCUUGGGGAACCUUCGGAGCAGGAGCGGCUGCUGUGUUGGUUUCACCAUCCAAAGUUAAAACUUGUUAUGCGGCAAGACUUGAUUUUAGUUGCACAAAUAAUAUCGCUGAGUAUGAAGCUCUGCUCUUGGGUCUUCGGAAGUUAAAAGCAAUGGGAAUCAGAAGGGUUAUUCUUAAAACUGAUUCUCAAGUUAUUUCUGGUCAUGAUGACAAGAGCUAUAAAGCAAGAGACCCGAAGCUUGAAAAGUAUCUAGAUAUAGUCCGAAGGAUUGAGGCUUCCUUCGAAGGUUUCUCUGUCAAAAAUAUUCCUCGUGGAGAAAAUGAAUAUGCUGAUUUAUUGGCCAAGUCAGCAGCUCAGAGGCUGCCUACACCUUUGGAAGUAUUUUUCGAAACAAUAAAAGCACCUUCGGUCAAGCUUCUUGAAAGAGCAAUUCUUAACAUAUCCCCUGUUUAUAGCGAAGAUUGGAGAACUGAGAUCGUCUCUUUCCUUCAGGGUAAUUUUCUUUCAGAUGACGAAGCUUAUAACAGGAGAAUAGAAGCAAGAGCUCGACCAUAUGUCAUAAUAGAGGGGGAGUUAUACAAGCAUGGGGUCUGUUCCCCAUUGCUCAAGUGUUUAUCCAGAUCCGAAGGUAUCGAAUUAAUGAAGGAAAUACAUGCAGGCCUGUGUGGAUCUCACAUUGGAUCUAGGCCCUUGCUUGGGAAAGUUUUUCGCCAAGGAUUUUAUUGGCCAAAGGCAGCUUCGGAUGUAGCGGAUCUGGUCCAAAAGUGUGAAGGUUGUCAGAAAUGUGCAAAAGAUCAAAAGCAACCUUCGUCUUUAACCCAAUUAAUACAACCCACUUGGCCGUUGCAAAGGUGGGGUCUCGAUUUACUAGGCCCAUUACCACCAGCACAGGGGAACCUAAGAUAUGUAGUAGUGACAGUGGAAUAUUUUUCCAAGUGGAAUGAGGCAAAGCCCUUAGCCACAAUAACUUCAUUUACUAUUCAAAAGUUUUUCUGGCAAAACAUUGUUUGUCGCUUCGGAGUGCCGAAGGCUAUUACUGUGGAUAAUGGGACACAGUUUGAUUCUGAAGCCUUUAGAGAAUUUUGUGAUCAAAUUGGCACGAAGAUCCAUUUUGCAUCAGUCCGACACCCAGAGUCAAAUGGACUUGUCGAAAGAGCUAAUGGGAUCAUAAUGACAGGAAUAAUGAAGUCAAUCUUCAAUCAGCCCAGGGGAAAGUGGCCAGACGAGUUAAUCAAAGUGGUGUGGAGCCAUAACACAACCAUGUCAAGGUCAACAGGCUUUACGCCCUUUAAACUAUUGUUCGGUGACGAAGCAAUAACCCCAGAAGAGGCCAAAGCAGGAUCAAUAAGGACAGUAGUUUCGGCAGAAGGCGAAGACGAAGCUGAUUGCUCUGUAGAAAAAGAUGCUAUUGAAGGGAUAAAACUUCAAGCUGUGGAAAACAUCAAUAAAUAUCAAGCUGAAACAAUAAAAUGGCGUGACAGAAAGGUCAAGCUGAAGAACAUUGAACCAGGACACUUGGUACUUCGAAGAGUAGCCAACCCUGAGACAGUAGGCAAAUUACAACUGAAGUGGGAAGGCCCCUUUUUGGUAGUAUCUUCGUCAAGACCCGGUUCCUACAGAUUGAAGGAUAUGGACGGCAACGAUAUUCCUAGAUCAUGGAAUGCGGAUGAGCUUCGGCGAUAUUAUGUUUAGUUUGAUGUAAUUUUUUAUAUUCUUUUUUGUGGCACCCUUUUCCUUUCCAAAGGGGGAGAAAGGUUUUUAAUGGGGCCACAACAUGUAAUUUUCCUUAUUUCAAUUCUAUGAGAGUGAUAUCCCCCAAAAAAUGUAAAUGUAAAUGCAAAGGAAAAAAGAAAAGGAAACAGGGAGAAGCUCAAAAGUCGUUCCUAAGGGAAUGCAGAGCUUACAGCGAAAAAUAAACGCUGAUCUCGCCGAAAGUAAAAGGCGAAGAAGCUCCUAAGGGAGGCUUACAGCGAAAAAUAAACGCUGAUUCCGCUUAAAGUAAAAGGCGAAGAAGCUCCUAAGGGAGGCUUACAGCGAAAAAUAAACGCCGAUUCCGCUGAAAGUAAAAGGCGAAGAAGCUCCCAAGGGAGGCUUACAGCGAAAAGUCAACGCUGAUACACCGAAAAGUAAAUGGUGAAGCCGAAAAGUAAACGACAAAAAGAUUUGUAUCAUUCCUAAGGGGAUGAAGGGCUGUGCUUAUGGUUUUUGAACAUGUGUCCCAAUAUUCAUUUGCACAGUACAUUUCAUCAUGUCAUUUGCAUUCAUAAACAUUCAUUUAGACAUAAAUAGAAUCAUCAUCAUACUACACAAAAAAGACAGGUGCUUCAGCAAUGAGGAAAAACUUCGAAGGAAAUUUUUUUUAUGCUUCGUUGUGUACGAAAAGAAGGGAAGGUGUUUUUCGCCUUCGGCUCAAAAGAGAAGUUUCGUCCACAGCAAAGCAGACUGUAUGCGGAUAAAGGAGACAAAAUAUAUUACAAGGUAUGUACAAAUUUACAUGAGUUGUUCCAUAACUAUAUUACAAGAGUUUCUUCAGAAUUUUUACAGGAAAGUAUAUUGUAAGCAACUAUUAAGCUUCAGGCUAGGCUUCGUCAAACUUCAGCUUCGUCAAACUUCAGCUUCGUCAUUCUUCAGCUUCGUCAUCCUGCGUAUAUCAAACAGCAGAAUAAAAAAGGUGCAAAUUUCAAGGAGAAGGUAAAAGUAACAAACAUAAGUCUCUUACCGGCUUAAGAUGGCUUCGAGCUUCGUCACCUGCCAUUUUUCGCCCGCCACUUACCCAGAUCUGGGUCAUGAAUCUAUUUCCAAUGCUUCGGGCUAGGCUUGGGAUAUCUAUCAGAUCUGAUGCCGACAAGCUGAAGUUUGGUCUGUUCACAAUAUUUCCAUGCGUGUAGCCAGCCUUCAGAAAAGCAGUAGCUAUGCCCCGAGAAGCUACCAGGGCGCAGAAGUCGGCGUGCCCACCAAUAACUUCAUCAAGGGCAUCAACCUCGCCUUCAAUAUAUUCUAAUGUGCUGGGCAGAUUUUCAGCUGAAGGUGUAAAUUUCGCAGAGCUGGCUCCAAUAGAAUGAAACACAUCCUUCAGCCGCUGCACGCAUCGGCUGCCGAAGCUUAAGCAUUUCUCUUGAAGUUCUUUAAAGGAUUUCUGCAAAUUUGAAUUUUUGUCCACCUCAGUUUUCAAGCUUGCUUCAAGAUAUUUCUUUUCUUGCUCAAAUUUUUCUGACUGUUGGAGCAAUUCAUUCUUUAAGUUGUUAUUCUCAGUUUGGACUUCAGCCAAAGAACCCUCCAUAGUCUGAAUAACAAAAUCUUUCUUUUCUAAUGCACCUUCGUGCUCUUUAACCAUGAUUUCAAGGUCCGGGAUGGUGAAGUCUUUCUUUUUCAGAUUGGCUUCGUAAUUUUCAACUUUUUCAGCCAAAUCUUGGAUGACGGCUUUGUUCUUCUCUUCUUCGAGAUCUUGUUGCAUUUUUAGAACCUUACUUAAUAAUAUGCUCUGUCGAAACGAUCUUCGUUAGAAAACGACCUAAAAGAUAAUAAUAAUAAUAGUAAUAAAAUAACAAAAAUAUUUGUUACCUUGAAGUUAGCAUAAAGCAAGCUUCCGGCAAUAUGGUGUCGUUGGUAACGGCAGAGGUCCGCUUCUAGCUUCGGCAAGCCAAUGUUUUUGCAGAGAGUUCUAACAAUUUUAGCUUCGCUGCGGUUUCGAAGGCACCUCAACUUUUCUUCGUUAACCCCACCGAACAGUGUAGCCCCUGGCUUAUAUCCGCAGGCUAUGGCACAUUUUUUAAGCUCUGCUUUUUCAGCGUCUGUCAGUCCUUGCCCAAGUAAAUCUUGAAAUUCAAAAUCUUCUUCCUCCAAAAUGUCUUCAGCUUGUUUUUCCCCUUUUCACUAGCUGUGCUCGCCGCGGCUACAACAGAUUCUUCCUCAGUCAUUUUUAGGAGUAUGUUAUCAAUAACUUCAAGUGUCUCUUCCAGGUUCGGAUCUUAUGUGGCCUCGGUUUCAGCCCCGGCAGCUUCGGCUGCGCCAGUUUCAGCUUUGAAGGUUUCUGCUCUGGUGGCUUCGGCUGCGGCGCCUUUAGCUUCGGCGGUUUCGGCAGUCUGGUCAAUGGCAAUUCUUGAUUCCGGUGUCGGUGACGGUGUCCCAUGAAUUACAUCUGCUAUUUGAAUAAUCCUUCGUUUUUUCGGCAGUGUAGGACCUUCGUCUGCCGAAGCUGCCUUGUCCAGGAAAAAACUUCGUCAGUUCCAGCGCCAGCGGACUUAGCUUGACAGGCAAAGGUUCAGUCAUUACCUUCAUAAUCUCUUCUACUUCAACAGUAGAAGGCGUUGCAGGAGUACCUUCUUCUCGAACCAACGUUUUUGGUUCUGGAGAUGCAGUUUUCCUCUUUCUUGCAGUGGCCACCUUCGGCUCAGGGUUCAACUCUUCAGGGCUAAGUUUUUCAGAAUCUUCCCUUUUCUUUUUGGCUACCUUGGCGACCUCUUCGUCAGCAGCGCUGGCAAUUCUUUUUCGCUUCGGGCCUCCAGCAUCUCCGCCCAGUCGACCAUAAUCAGCAUAUUCAAACCCUAUAGCAUCAAGCACUCUGUUCAGCCUUCGCUUCGGCCGAGUGCCGAAGGCUGCUGUCAUCAGCUGGUCCUCUUUUUUGGAGUAAUUUCCAAGAAUUUCGUUACUCAUUACUUCGAUCGUGUCGAGCCAUUCUUGGCAGGGUGCUUUAAAAUAUUUCUUAAACUUAUAAUAAUAGGGUAGUCGGACAAGCUCCCCUCUUUCUUUUCUCCUUUAAGCUUCGGCAUAGUCCACUCCUUCAUAGUCGGAAAUACUCUGAAGGCCAGAAAUUCCUGCACUAAAUCCCUAGUGCCAAUGUGUUCUGCAAUAAUUUUGAAUUCAGCCAGUGCGGUCCAAGUUGGACCUUCUGCUGCCAUAUUGCAUCGGGGUCUGGUUUCUCCGAAGAUCAGUUCAAGAGAGCUCUGUACCAGCUUCUCUUUGUCAUCAUCAGCUUUGACAUAAAACCAUUCUGACUUCCAGCCUGCCGACCAUUUGCUUCGGUAGCUAAUCACAGGAAAUUUUGUGGUUUUCCGAUAGGCAAAAUUAUAACAACCAAAAUUUUCAUGCAACCCAUCCUUUCUGGCCUUAGUCUGGUAAUGUAGCUCAUGUACUCGAAAGAAGCUGUCGGCAAGCGGCUCCACCGCCUGGCUUCGGAGAGCCCAGAUAUAAACGCUAAGCCUGACAAUGGCAUUAGGAGUCAGUUGGUGAAAAUAGAUCCCAAACCUUUGCAGCACAUCAGAAAUCAUUCUAUUUAAAGGAAAUCUCAACCCAGCUUUUAGAAAACUCUUCAAAAUAACUAUUUCAUCCUUUUCUGGCUUCGGGGUAGUUUCCUCUCCCCCGAAGCGAAUCAGCUUCUUCUCAUCUUCACUGAAAUAGCCCGACUUCACCAUUUUGGAAAAAUCAGCCUUCGAGAUAGUCGACUUUCCGAAGUCCAAAUGGCUGGGCUUGCUCGGUACUGCGAUAUGGUAAUCACCGUCAGAAUCAGCUUCCUCAAUAUCUCCUUGUUCCGCUUCGGCAGCAGCUUGUUCUGUUUCGGCAGUGGGGAUUCUUUCCGAGGUCACUAGUCCGGAUCACUGCAUUGCUUCGGAAAUAGGAACAGUCUCCGCUCCUUCGGCUUCGUCUCCCUCACGCUCAAUUCUAGCAGUAAAACAGUGCAAUAGCAAUGAAUGCUGUGGUAACUUCACACCUACCUGUCUGUUUAUAUAGUGCUGCUGGUAAGAAGGUGAAUCGUCAGGAUUUUUACACCAGGCAAACAGCUGCUCGCACCCGCUGCGCGGUGGGACGCAAAGACCAAAAUAGUGAACCUGCAUGGUGGGACCGCUACGCGCUCAGAAACUGUAUCGUUUCUCGACAACGAGCUCAGGGAAGGUGUUUUUCGGACCUUCGGCUUCCUGAAGCCUAAGAGACUUUUUUCACGGAUCAAGCUCGUUACGAAAAACGAUCUAGCACCGCGAAGGGGCUACUGUUGGGACCAUGCUUCGUCGCCGAAGGUCCUGCAGGAAGAAACAGCUUCGGCUGAAGCUGUCUGUACGUGAUGCCGAAGGGUGCCGUUCAUGAAGCUUCGGAAUUACAAACCGACUUAAAGAUAGAAUGACAUUUUAGUCCAUAAGAGUUUGAGUCGUUGUUGUAAACUUUUAUGAGGGGUAUGAUUGUAAUUGCUUACAGGCUGUGUCCUGUGCCUAUAAAUAGUGAACAAUAUUCUUUUACUGUUCACGCAUUCCUGUAAUUGCAAUCACAUUACUCGGAAAUUAUUCCUUGCAAGGCAGAGGUAUAAAUGUAUCUAAACAUUAUAUUUGAAUACAUCAAGUUUAUAUAAUAUGUAAAUGAUGUUGUUUACUUCAAUUUACUUGUCUUUAAUGCUUUAUGUCUCGUGUUAUUUUAUAUUAUCUCUGAGAGUUCAAUUACGAAGAUUCAACCUUCGUAAUUGUAUCAUUAUAACCUUCGUCCGAAGUUCAUUAAAUCCUUGGGGGAAAUAAUGCUUCAGCGGACGAAGGACAUUAAUAUUUAACAUUUUAUGUUGCCUUGUUCUUAAUUCAUAGCAUUUGAGAACAAGUCCCCAACAACCAUGUUUGUCUGUAUUGCUAUGUUUAGCAGUGAGGACACGUGUCAUCUGAACAGUAAGUUGGUACCUGGAAUCUCAAGUGCCAGGCAAGUUGUGCCCUUGAUCACUUCUUUUUACCCAGUCUUGUUCUGAUUAAUCAUAAUGAUCUGCAUAGGUUAAUUUUGAUGGGACCCAAUAGGUUACCCUAGAUCUGACUAUCUUUAUACCUUGUUUCACCACUGGUUUUACUACUAAAUUUUUGGGUAGUACAUGCUAUUGCUUUAUGUGGUUUCGGGUAUAAAGAUACAUAUUAUUCAUGAUUAUAUUUUAUUAUCUGUUCAUUAUUUACUGUUCAUGAUAAGAUCAUUAUGUUAAUGGGAACAUGGAGAACCACCCGGGAAAACAGUGCUACCACAAGGGUUUAUGGAUGCCCUUGGCUGAUUAACUAGGAAAGCUAGUGGAUGAUUACCUUACCUGAAAGGGGCAAGGGCAGUAGGGGAGUGGUUAGUGUAGGGAGGUCCUUGGUUGAUUUUGCUGUGAUGGCGGUCAGUCGAGGGACUCCUGCACUGGAGCUUCCUAUAAACUAUAGCGGGUUUUCUGAAGCUAGUGGAACUUUGUAAAGGCCCCGUAGUGUUACCCUGCCUCGCCUCCUCGGUAGAGGUGUAUGGGAUUGGUCGUCUCUUGGUAGACGGGUAACAUGACUUGUGGGUAAAGAUGUGCAACCUCUGCAGAGUGUAAAACUGGUAUACUAGCCGUGCUCACGGUCAUGAGCAGCUCGAACACUCACAUGAUUAAUUUAUGGAAUUAAAUUCAAUUCGUCAUAUGCAUUGCAUCACAGGUGAUGUUGUUACUUUUGUUCUACUACUUAAUUGGGUUGGUAUUUACUUAUACUUAGUAAUAGCUAAUAAAAUUUUGACCAACUUUAAAAGCAAUGCUCAGCUCUAACCAUCCUCUUUGGUAAGCCUUGCACUUCACAUGAGCUCCCACCUUUGGCGAGUUCAUGCACAUUAUUCCCCACAACUUGUUGAGCGAUGAACGUAUGUGAGCUCAUUCUUGUUGUCUCACACCCCCCACAGGUCAAGAACAGGUACCACAGGAUGAGGCGCAUGGAGGAUGUUAUGACGAGUUCGUGAGAGGUCUAGGCCGUCGUCUCCCAGUCAACUUUGGGUUGCUGGACCGUUG
rnacentral:lncRNA from 1 species